CUGUAAGCCUGUGAAGGUGGCCUGUGAGGGUUGCUGGAGGUAUCAGAAGUGCGAAUGCUGACAUAAGUAACGAUAAAGCGGGUGAAAAGCCCGCUCGCCGGAAGACCAAGGGUUCCUGUCCAACGUUAAUCGGGGCAGGGUGAGUCGACCCCUAAGGCGAGGCCGAAAGGCGUAGUCGAUGGGAAACAGGUUAAUAUUCCUGUACUUGGUGUUACUGCGAAGGGGGGACGGAGAAGGCUAUGUUGGCCGGGCGACGGUUGUCCCGGUUUAAGCGUGUAGGCUGGUUUUCCAGGCAAAUCCGGAAAACCAAGGCUGAGGCGUGAUGACGAGGCACUACGGUGCUGAAGCGACAAAUGCCCUGCUUCCAGGAAAAGCCUCUAAGCAUCAGGUAACAUCAAAUCGUACCCCAAACCGACACAGGUGGUCAGGUAGAGAAUACCAAGGCGCUUGAGAGAACUCGGGUGAAGGAACUAGGCAAAAUGGUGCCGUAACUUCGGGAGAAGGCACGCUGAUAUGUAGGUGAAGCGACUUGCUCGUGGAGCUGAAAUCAGUCGAAGAUACCAGCUGGCUGCAACUGUUUAUUAAAAACACAGCACUGUGCAAACACGAAAGUGGACGUAUACGGUGUGACGCCUGCCCGGUGCCGGAAGGUUAAUUGAUGGGGUUAGCGGUAACGCGAAGCUCUUGAUCGAAGCCCCGGUAAACGGCGGCCGUAACUAUAACGGUCCUAAGGUAGCGAAAUUCCUUGUCGGGUAAGUUCCGACCUGCACGAAUGGCGUAAUGAUGGCCAGGCUGUCUCCACCCGAGACUCAGUGAAAUUGAACUCGCUGUGAAGAUGCAGUGUACCCGCGGCAAGACGGAAAGACCCCGUGAACCUUUACUAUAGCUUGACACUGAACAUUGAGCCUUGAUGUGUAGGAUAGGUGGGAGGCUUUGAAGUGUGGACGCCAGUCUGCAUGGAGCCGACCUUGAAAUACCACCCUUUAAUGUUUGAUGUUCUAACGUGGGCCCCUAAUCGGGGUUGCGGACAGUGUCUGGUGGGUAGUUUGACUGGGGCGGUCUCCUCCUAAAGAGUAACGGAGGAGCACGAAGGUUGGCUAAUCCUGGUCGGACAUCAGGAGGUUAGUGCAAUGGCAUAAGCCAGCUUGACUGCGAGCGUGACGGCGCGAGCAGGUGCGAAAGCAGGUCAUAGUGAUCCGGUGGUUCUGAAUGGAAGGGCCAUCGCUCAACGGAUAAAAGGUACUCCGGGGAUAACAGGCUGAUACCGCCCAAGAGUUCAUAUCGACGGCGGUGUUUGGCACCUCGAUGUCGGCUCAUCACAUCCUGGGGCUGAAGUAGGUCCCAAGGGUAUGGCUGUUCGCCAUUUAAAGUGGUACGCGAGCUGGGUUUAGAACGUCGUGAGACAGUUCGGUCCCUAUCUGCCGUGGGCGCUGGAGAACUGAGGGGGGCUGCUCCUAGUACGAGAGGACCGGAGUGGACGCAUCACUGGUGUUCGGGUUGUCAUGCCAAUGGCACUGCCCGGUAGCUAAAUGCGGAAGAGAUAAGUGCUGAAAGCAUCUAAGCACGAAACUUGC
rnacentral:rRNA from 1 species